rnacentral:rRNA from 2 species
UACGUAGGGUGCAAGCGUUGUCCGGAAUCAUUGGGCGUAAAGAGCGUGUAGGCGGCCUCAUCAGUCUGCUGUGAAAGUCCAGGGCUCAACCCUGGGAUGCCGGUGGAUACUGUGAGGCUAGAGUCCGGAAGGGGCGAGUGGAAUUCCUGGUGUAGCGGUGAAAUGCGCAGAUAUCAGGAGGAACACCGAUGGCGAAGGCAGCUCGCUGGGACGGUACUGACGCUGAGACGCGAAAGCGUGGGGAGCAAACAGG